ACCUUAUCUCUAGGAGUUGCCAUAUGCUAUUUUUAAAUUUGAUCAAUAGUUAUAGGUUUUCAAUGCUAGUUUUCAUGGAUGAGUAAACAGUGGCUUCUUCAUCAUAUGGCAUGCUGUUGGUGUGUGUAGGCAAUAAGGAACAAAAAACAAACAAGUCUAUUCAGCUUUUGUGUUGGAACUUGUGUUGCUGAAUUUGUUUUUGAGGAUUCUAUAUCUCUCCAUCUUAAUUUUUUGCCGAGUUUGAACCAUAUUUUUUUUGGUCAUUAAUGUAGUUUGAUUGAAACCAAAAUUAGAUAUGUAUUUGCAGUUUGGUGGUAUUUGUGUCUGCGUUUCUUGCUUCCUAAUAUCAGUUUUCUUGUACUUCAUAUUAUCUGUUAGAAGUGAAAAAGAGAGAUCACAUCCUGAUUGAAAAUUUUCCGAACUCUACCGUUUUAUGUUCACAUACCUGUAUCUCUUUUGACAUACUUUGUAAACUAAUUUUAUGGUAAUUAUAGGAGCUUCUUUACUGAAAUUGCAGAAUGAGAACUCUUUAGAUAUUAAAGUGAAAAAGGAGACUUUAAAGACAUCUGGAUUAAUAAAGUUUAAUGAGAAAAGUGAUCAUAAAAGUGAUGGGCAACUUCUUUACCUUUCUACCAAAGCCUCUCCAUAAGUAUUAUCCAUAUCCAUCAUCAACAUUCAUCUACGAAUGGCAUUGGGUUUCCUAUUCUUAUGACUUCAGUUUGUGAGACUUUCUACGACUGACUGAACUGACAAGCUAAAGUUGGUGUUAGACAUGCUUGGGAUCAUACUAAUAUUUAUUUAUUUUUCUUUCUUAUAUUAACUGUUAAAGUAAG